rnacentral:rRNA from 1 species
AGAGUUUGAUCCUGGCUCAGGACGAACGCUGGCGGCGUGCUUAACACAUGCAAGUCGAACGGAAAGGCCCCCUUGUGGGGUACUCGAGUGGCGAACGGGUGAGUAACACGUGAGUAACCUACCCUUGACUUUGGGAUAACUUCAGGAAACUGGGGCUAAUACCGGAUAGGAGCUCCUGCUGCAUGGUGGGGGUUGGAAAGUUUCGGCGGUUGGGGAUGGACUCGUGGCUUAUCAGCUUGUUGGUGGGGUAGUGGCUCACCAAGGCUUUGACGGGUAGCCGGCCUGAGAGGGUGACCGGCCACAUUGGGACUGAGAUACGGCCCAGACUCCUACGGGAGGCAGCAGUGGGGAAUAUUGCACAAUGGGCGGAAGCCUGAUGCAGCAACGCCGCGUGCGGGAUGACGGCCUUCGGGUUGUAAACCGCUUUCGCCUGUGACGAAGCGUGAGUGACGGUAAUGGGUAAAGAAGCACCGGCUAACUACGUG